UACGAAGGGGGCUAGCGUUGUUCGGAAUUACUGGGCGUAAAGCGUGCGUAGACGGUUAUGUAAGUCGGAUGUGAAAGCCCCGGGCUCAACCUGGGAAUUGCAUUCGAGACUGCAUAGCUAGGAUGCGGAAGAGGGAAGUGGAAUUUCCGGUGUAGCGGUGAAAUGCGUAGAUAUCGGAAGGAACAUCAGUGGCGAAAGCGACUUCCUGGUCCAGCAUCGACGUUCAGGCACGAAAGCGUGGGGAGCAAACAGG
rnacentral:rRNA from 1 species